GAUGAACGCUGGCGGCGUGCCUAAUACAUGCAAGUCGAGCGAAUGGAUUAAGAGCUUGCUCUUAUGAAGUUAGCGGCGGACGGGUGAGUAACACGUGGGUAACCUGCCCAUAAGACUGGGAUAACUCCGGGAAACCGGGGCUAAUACCGGAUAACAUUUUGAACCGCAUGGUUCGAAAGUGAAAGGCGGCUUCGGCUGUCACUUAUGGAUGAACCGCGUCGCAUUAGCUAGUUGGUGAGGUAACGGCUCACCAAGGCAACGAUGCGUAGCCGACCUGAUAGGGUGAUCGGCCACACUGGGACUGAGACACGGCCCAGACUCCUACGGGAGGCAGCAGUAGGGAAUCUUCCGCAAUGGACGAAAGUCUGACGGAGCAACGCCGCGUGAGUGAUGAAGGCUUUCGGGUCGUAAAACUCUGUUGUUAGGGAAGAACAAGUGCUAGUUGAAUAAGCUGGCACCUUGACGGUACCUAACCAGAAAGCCACGGCUAACUACGUGCCAGCCGCCGCAGUAA
rnacentral:rRNA from 1 species